CCUGCUGCUUGUCCCGCACCCAACCAGUACCUACACACUCUUCUUCUGGAAAAGAAAAUGUAAAUAACCCACCUGGUACAAGACAGCCCUUCCAAGAGGACCUUUGUUACCAGUUUCAGCCUAGCUACAAACCCAGCCGGGCCUGGUCCAUAAGCAGUGUCUGUGAACAGAAACCAGUCAGCCUGUGGGUGCAGAGACAAUGGCUGUGAUGACUGAGCAGCUCUCAAGCCACGGAACUGGACUGUACCAGCCCCAUGAAGCUGCGUGGAGGGAGGCAGCAGAGAAGAGCAGGGCCCAGAUCUCCCAGCCUAUAAAUCCUGGUCCCAGAGGAGGCAGUUGUGUAUUUAAAUAUUUCUGCAAGGGAAUCCAGUUCCUGGGUGGCUAUAACUUGCCGCAAAGGCAGAGGACCUCGGGAGCAUUGGUAAUAAGUGGGGAGCUCCCGGUGCACCAGACAAGGUCAGGAUUGUUUCCCUGCUGGAUGCUGGUGCAAAUAUGCGGCCGGGCGCUUGGAUCCCGAGGAGCUUGCAGCUCCCCGGCAAGCAGAUGAAGCAUUAGUGCCCGUCUUGUCCAGCGUGGACGUGCCCCAUGGUGAGCUACGUGUUUCCCCGGUGACUUCAGCAGCUAUUAAUUCCCUGCUCCUAACCCAGAGCGUGCCCGUCUCCGUGAGACAUCCCAUGCACCCGGGCUGCCCGUGGCCACCUCGGUCAUGGCGCACGUGGCCGGGCGGUGGGAUUUGGCCACCUUCAGCAAACCAUUGCCCGCCCAGCCCGGCCUCUUGUGGCCAGCGGCUGAUCUCAGCGCGUGGCCAGCCGAUCCCGUCACCGCGUGCCCAGGGGAUGGGUCGGUGCUGGGUAAACUGAGGCUUGCAGGGGUUUGGCUCGUGGUCACGUCCUCAGCCUGGGACGGUGCCGAGGAGCCGCUCUCUGUGCUCUUUUGCCCCGUUGGAUGCUCCUGGACACAGUUUUGGGCUCUGUUGGCAAAGCAUCGGUGCUGCUGGCUCGGUGCCCUUGGGAAAUCUUUGUGUUUGCUGACUUGACUCCAUUCGUGCUCAUGGAGAGCUCAGCUCCGGUGGUGCCGCGGCGUGGGGAGGCCCAAACCACACACAGAGCUCGAGCAGGGAUUUCAAUCCCCCCACCCCAAAAAAAAAGUUCAAAGGUGUUUCGGCUUAAUGCGGUUUAUCUAAAUUGCUUCAUGUUAGUUAAUCUGGAUUAACGCAAAUGCUCUCGGAGUGGUUGGCUGGGGAAAGGCUUGCUAAGCCAUCCCAACACGAAAAGACUUUUCCGAAAGUGAAAAGUUUGAGCUGGGAAAAAACAAAAAAAACAAAAAAAGGCAAGGUCCUGUUUUGUGUUGAGUGCGUGCGAGCCCUGCGAACCGAGCACGGCUGUUCCCAAAUCCAGGGGCUGCCUUCGAGGGCUGUCUUUGGGCACCCCCAUAACUGGGGAGCUGAGAACCUCCCCCUGGUCUCUCCGGGGCUGUGUGAACCCCUUUUGGGCUGGCGUGCAGCUGCUGGCCCGAUUACUGAGAGAGAUCCAAGGUAAAUGGGAGGUCAAGCCCAGAUUUGGCGAUUUUGGUGGGCGCGAGCGUGACUGAGGGCGCCAUGUGAUGGGGACGACGUCCUGGUGAUUGAUCUCCGCGUCCUCUCCUCUCCUGGGAGCUGGGAUUAGGAGAGAUUUUACAGCUGAGCGGCCAGCAUCGCCUUAGGAUUCGGUUUGCAAAGGCUCAGCCCUGACAGCCUCUCCUGGGGAAGGACUUUUUAGGUAUUUAUGGCCAUUUGGACCCAUCAGUUCAUGGAUCACCCCUGCGUGUCUGUAGGAACUUCCCACCCUGAGAACAAGCAGAGAAACGCCCUGCGGGGAAACUGGGGCUCAGGGGAGGGAACUACAAAGCUUCAGAGAGAAUCGUCUCAUAUCUGUGUGUUUCUCUGGGAUUUGCGUGCGCUUUUUUGCCUUGCAGAAGGCUUCUCGUGGACCCUCGAGCGAGUCCUCGCACCUCGGAGCUGGGUUCCUCCCAUGCAAGGGGGCGAGCAACCCUUCCUGCAGCCACCCGUGCACGGACCGAGGGUGCUCGGGUGCUGCGGGGAGGGCCGGGGAGCGACGGAUCGGCGCCGGGAAGGAUCCGGCCCCAGCUCCAGGCAGCCGCAGGCGAAGCUCGGCGCUCCCGCGGAGCGGGGAUGGAAGUUGUAAGCGAGACCUGGGCGCUGCCCAAAACCUGGGGACUCCCUCCUCCCCCGGCCCCAGUGCAAACAGCAGAUUAACAAUUUAUUUGACGUGUUGCGGCUGGUUAGUUUCUUCGCCCGCUCCCCUGAUCAGAGGGAAUAAACGUUGCAGUGUGCAAUAAUGUUCAUUUCAGGUGAGGGUAAAUAUAGAAAGGAAAACCUGCUGAGAGCGAGCCAUUUAUUUCUGCGUUUGGAAGCCUCUGCUCAUAAACAGUCAGUCAUAGCCAUUUGGAAAAUCCCAGCGUGGUUUUCUUGGCCAUCCGAGAAGAACGUUUACUUUCCUGUAGGUUAAGAAGUUAGUUUUAAAUUAAAAAAAUAAUAAUGGCAUCUCACUUCCAGCUGCCCUCGGGUGUUUAGGGCUUGUUGACACACUAAGGCCGCUCUGUUCUCCGGCAAGGCUGCCCUGGUGCGGGAUCACAGAGGGGAUCCUGCAGGGCUUUCCCGGCUGCCGGUGCUGGGGAAACUUGUUCUUUGAUUUCCUCUUGUCCCCCAGCUUUGGGGGGCUCAGGGGGAUUUCGAAUCGGGAUUUGCUCAGAAAUCUCAGCCGUGUGCAGGGCUGGAGGGUAAUGGGCAGGGGUUUUGGUGGAAACACCCAGCUUUGGGGGUUGUAAGAGCUGGUAAGGCUGCAGAAAGGUGCUUGGGGUGAUCCCAAGAGCCCUGGGACUCGGGGGCUGUGUCCGCAGGGAGGCAGCGGGGCUGGGGCAGGGGGACAAGCCCGUUGUGCUGUGCUCACACCACACCAGGAAAACCUCUGAGGGUUUUCGGCACAGCGUGCCAAAGACAACAGGACAGCGCGAGCUGCAGGAGCAUCCCUCAGCCGUGCCCCGGCGCCCAGAUGCCGCAGCAUAGGAGAAACCCCAAAACCAGCUUUGUAGGACUCAGCUAAGAAAGGUGAGGACUCCCUGACCCGACACCCAGGCUCUGCUUCCCUCCUUUAUCCCGACAGCAGCUCCGAGGACCGGAGUGGGACGCGGCAAAGCGGCCACCGUGGCUUGGCACGCUGCUGGCUCCGCGCCGCUGGCACCGGGGGCCGGGAGCCAAGGCGCUGCAGCGGGCUCGGAGCGGCCAAAGGCUCCCGGCUCUGACGUCCUGUGCAGCCAGGAAGGGUCUCUCCGUGUUUUCCGACAGGCUUGGGAUUUGGCUCGGGUUUGCCUCGGGUUUCCGAAGGCAAGAGGCAGUUAAGUCUCUUGGAAGAAUGAAUUAAUUAGCGAAUGCCUUUGGUCAGGUCAGCGCCCUCCAGGAGCGUUCUUCAAGCCUUGAAAGCGGCGCCUCUGCACCCAGGUAAGCCGCCCUGAAAGGCUCGUGUUACCGGGGUAUUUUAAGAGCUAUACGUACAUCAGCGCGGAGGAACCCUGCUUUGAAAAAAAAAAGGAAGAAAAAAAAAAAUCCUCCCCCAAAACGCGCUGUUGACUCUAAUGGUGGCAUUUGUGUAAGCAACAAAAUAUUGACGCAGUUGGCUCAGGGCUGGCUGGGGCUUCUGGAAAUAAACUAAUGCCUUGUUAAAUUGUAUAUGGAAAUGCAAGUGGGAAAAUGACUGACAUCUUACACAACUCGGGCACAUAAAAUCGCUGCUUUACUACAGUGUGAAAAAACUCAGGAAUUAAUAGGUCUCCUUCUGCUCGGGGGCGUUGGAUUUAUCCCCGAGUAAGAUCCAUAAACUAUUUUAAGGAGAGAAGUGCUACUUUUAAACGCACGCGUCUGGGUCCUGGAGUUAAAGUGGUGUCACCAGUGCCGAGUUAACCCCUUGCCUUCUCACCAGCCCCUGGGGUAACGCUCGGCGGAGCCAUGAGCCCCGUUCUUGGCAGAUAGUGCUCUGAGUGGCCAUACGGACACAUGGACACCUGAUAAACGCUAAUCCAUUAUUUCUGGGGGCGUUAAGCACGGUGUGUUCUACCGACCUGGGUCAGAAAUGCAUUUCAGGCCUCACUCCAGCAGAACCCGAACCCCGAGCUUGAUUUUACAUGCGUGGGACCUAAAAAUGCCUUUAAAAGCAACCACCUGCUCCGCAGCAGCGCCUGGGCUGAGCCCGAAGCAGGCACUGCUGAGUUCUGCCGUCGGUGGCCGGGAGAUGCGUUGUGUGAGUGUCUUCUAGGGGAAAGAUGAUUAACAAAGCUUCAAAGAGCGACGAGUUGCUUUCCUUGCUGCCCGAAGCCCCUUCCUUCUCCACCCACAUCCUGACGAGCUGCCAGUUGGUGUACACAUGCUGAUGGAAAAGCAGGACAAGGUACGAGCUGCGGGGAGCUGCCGGCAGCGCGGGGUGCGAGCCACCAGCAGCAGCCGCUCGGGUGUAAUUACACCCCCCCCGUGCGCCGGAGUGCGAUUUCCCAGUAAUUAUUCUGGAAGAAAAGCCUGCCUAUUUCUGUAAGGGCUUAUGUCACUUAGAAAGCUGUUAUAAAUUCGAGCUGGAAAAAGGGACCCUUAUUCUGGGCUAAGUGUGGUUAGUGGUUAGCUGGGAACGGGGCUAUUCCUGGCGCUGCCAGCGACCUUCCCGGUGACGCCGGGUAAAGUCACCUCACCUCCGCCUGUGGCAGCUUCUCCCGCUGCAAAGUGGGAAUUACAAACACGGGCUUUUCUCCGCCCGCAGGUUUGGGAAGCCCUGCGACGCUGGAAAAAAGGUGUCACAGCGUGGCAGGCAGUCAUUUAGCACGACCCGGCGCUUUUCGCCCCCCUUGGAGGCAUCUCCAUCAAAUUGCAGGUUGAGGAAAGCGGAGAUGUGCCCGGGGAGCUCGCCAUGGGGAUGGGCUGAGCCUCUUGAGCCCGGGCCGUUGGCUUCUUACUGGGAAUGCAGUGUUUUCCUCGCUGUUUUUAAAAAUAGCCCAUUCUGUUCCCAGUUUGGGACCGCACCCCUCGCCGGGGCAUCAAAAUGUCUCGGCUGCUGCUUCCUCGAGCCAAGUCGUGGCAGCGCAGACUUGCGGGGUGCACGAGCGGUGUUAUUGAGCACCCGGCGGGCAGGAGGGGUCCUGCUGGGGGCAACAGCGGCAGGGUGCCCGUGGUCCUCAUGGAUGGGGGGAGAAGGCAAUCUCCUGGUUCUCAGCACAGUGGCUUAACCCCUUGGCCUCUUCUUCUUCCUCCUGUCCGAUUCCGGAGCUGGUUCUGCAAGCUCCGAGAUCCAUAAUGGGACUUUUGUGCCCGUUGCUUCUUGCACAGCCUCAGAAAUCCCUUUUGGCCCCAACGCCGUGCGAAUAUGCCCAGGCAGUGCUGAAGCACCACCAUGGGGAUACAGGGAGGCGAGGGGAGCAUCAGCCCCGGCGCCUUCCCACAGCCUCCAUCCCUGCUCGGGCUCUGCAGCGGGGCUCAGCCCUGCUCCAAAAUGGGCUCGAGCCAACGAGACGGAGCAGAACAAGAUUUUUACAGCCCAUUAGUGCUCCCCGGAGCCAUCCAGCCCCUCUUGCGCUAAAAGUGGUGGAAGCCACAGGAACAUUGAGGCUGGUGUCCAGAAGAUGCCAGCCUGCCCCCCAGUUUUGUGUCCCAUCCUCGGGGCUCUGCCGGAGCCAGUGACCCCCCCCGACAGCCCUGGGGUGCUGGAAGUCCCCCCGGGAGUGCCACGAUGAGCUGGUGAGCACCGGUCCCGGUCCGGCCCGGAGCUCCCUGUCAAGAUGUGCAUGGGAGGGUUCCAAGUGCAAAUGUGUGUUUGCUAAUGGGAAAUGAAUUGCCUCUUGCCCCGAAGGCUUGCAGCUUGAGGAAAACAACGCAGGGUCUAAGAAUGACCUCAUAUUGCCUCCCAGGGAAUGUUUUGCCAGAUGAAGGGGGGAGAGGCAGCAUCAAGACAGCACAAUGUAUGUAUCUCUCUCCCUGUGUAAACAUCCCUGUAGCUGCAGAAACCUCUUAAAACCCAGAAUGAGAGGAGAACAGCUGCUUUGAUCUGUGGAUGUGGUUGUUAUUUUCUAAGUGCGGAUCCUUUCUUUUUUUAAUUUUGCC